rnacentral:rRNA from 1 species
GCCUACGGGAGGCAGCAGUAGGGAAUCUUCCACAAUGGGCGAAAGCCUGAUGGAGCAACGCCGCGUGGGUGAAGAAGGUCUUCGGAUCGUAAAACCCUGUUGUUAGAGAAGAAAGUGCGUGAGAGUAACUGUUCACGUUUCGACGGUAUCUAACCAGAAAGCCACGGCUAACUACGUGCCAGCAGCCGCGGUAAUACGUAGGUGGCAAGCGUUAUCCGGAUUUAUUGGGCGUAAAGGGAACGUAGGCGGUCCUUUAAGUCUGAUGUGAAAGCCUUCGGCUUAACCGGAGUAGUGCAUUGGAAACU